rnacentral:tRNA from 2 species
UCCCCAGUGGCGCAAUUGGUUAGCGCACGGUACUUAUAAGACAGUACUUGUGAGUUAUGCCGGGGUUGUGAGUUCGAGCCUCACCUGGGGAA